rnacentral:lncRNA from 1 species
AUUGUGAUUCUAUGAGAUGCUUCCCAGUAAUAUCAUGGGUGAAACAAAUGAUUAAACAGUCUGGGAUGAAACAGUAA